rnacentral:rRNA from 1 species
AACGAACGCUGGCGGCAGGCCUAACACAUGCAAGUCGAGCGAGACCUUCGGGUCUAGCGGCGGACGGGUGAGUAACGCGUGGGAAUAUGCCCUUCGGUUCGGAAUAGCCCGGGAAACUGGGAGUAAUACCGGAUACGGUCUACGGACGAAAGAUUUAUCGCCGAAGGAUUAGCCCGCGUUGGAUUAGGUAGUUGGUGGGGUAAUGGCCUACCAAGCCGACGAUCCAUAGCUGGUUUGAGAGGAUGAUCAGCCACACUGGGACUGAGACACGGCCCAGACUCCUACGGGAGGCAGCAGUGGGGAAUCUUAGACAAUGGGGGAAACCCUGAUCUAGCCAUGCCGCGUGAGCGAUGAAGGCCUUAGGGUUGUAAAGCUCUUUCAGCGGGGAAGAUAAUGACUGUACCCGCAGAAGAAGCCCCGGCUAACUCCGUG